AUUGAACGCUGGCGGCAUGCCUUACACAUGCAAGUCGAACGGCAGCACGGGAGCAAUCCUGGUGGCGAGUGGCGAACGGGUGAGUAAAGUAUCGGAACGUGCCCAGUCGUGGGGGGUAACGUAGCGAAAGUUACGCUAAUACCGCAUACGAUCUAUGGAUGAAAGCGGGGGAUCGCAAGACCUCGCGCGAUUGGAGCGGCCGAUAUCAGAUUAGGUAGUUGGUGGGGUAAAGGCUCACCAAGCCGACGAUCUGUAGCUGGUCUGAGAGGACGACCAGCCACACUGGGACUGAGACACGGCCCAGGCUCCUACGGGAGGCAGCAGUGGGGAAUUUUGGACAAUGGGCGAAAGCCUGAUCCAGCCAUGCCGCGUGCAGGAUGAAGGCCUUCGGGUUGUAAACUGCUUUUGUACGGAACGAAAAGGUUUGGGCUAAUAAGCUGAGCUCAUGACGGUACCGUAAGAAUAAGCACCGGCUAACUACGUGCCAGCCGCCGCGGUAA
rnacentral:rRNA from 1 species